rnacentral:misc_RNA from 1 species
UGGCCCAUUUAUAUUAUAUUCUUUGUGCCGCAUUUCUUCCAGAUCUUGCACCAUGCUUUCUUUACCUGAAUCAGAGAAAGUUAACAUCCUCAAUUCCCCACUUGCACCAUGAUUCUUUUCUCCCUUGUCUGAAUUGCUGUUAUACGCAAUUGAUUGAUCAUCAGAUGAGUGGUCAGGAAUUUCAGAGAGGAUUAUGUCAAAUGCUUCCU